UACGUAGGGUCCGAGCGUUGUCCGGAAUUACUGGGCGUAAAGAGCUCGUAGGUGGUUUGUCGCGUUGUUCGUGAAAACUCACAGCUCAACUGUGGGCGUGCGGGCGAUACGGGCAGACUAGAGUACUGCAGGGGAGACUGGAAUUCCUGGUGUAGCGGUGGAAUGCGCAGAUAUCAGGAGGAACACCGGUGGCGAAGGCGGCUCUCUGGAACGCAACUGACGCUGAGACGCGAAAGCGUGGGGAGCAAACAGG
rnacentral:rRNA from 1 species